rnacentral:rRNA from 1 species
CAUUGAAACACCUGUUCCCAUAUGAUCACUGAAGUUAAGCAACAUUGAGCCUGGUCAGUACCUAGAUGGGUGACCUCUUGGGAAUUCCAGGUGCUGUAAG